GACGAACGCUGGCGGCGUGCCUAAUACAUGCAAGUCGAACGAACCGCGACUAAGUGCUUGCACUAAGUCAAGGUGAGUGGCGAACGGGUGAGUAACACGUGGGUAACCUACCUCAUAGUGGGGGAUAACAGUCGGAAACGACUGCUAAUACCGCAUAGGACAUAGGAUCACAUGAUCCAGUGAGGAAAGGUGGCGCAAGCUAUCGCUAAGAGAUGGACCCGCGGUGCAUUAGCUAGUUGGUAGGGUAAGGCCUACCAAGGCGAUGAUGCAUAGCCGACCUGAGAGGGUGAUCGGCCACAUUGGGACUGAGACACGGCCCAAACUCCUACGGGAGGCAGCAGUAGGGAAUCUUCCGCAAUGGACGCAAGUCUGACGGAGCAACGCCGCGUGAGUGAAGAAGGUCUUCGGAUCGUAAAGCUCUGUUGUUAGAGAAGAACAGCGCAUAGAGUAACUGCUAUGCGUGUGACGGUAUCUAACCAGAAAGCCACGGCUAACUACGUG
rnacentral:rRNA from 1 species